rnacentral:tRNA from 1 species
CCGACGAUAGCUCAGUUGGUAGAGCGGAGGACUGUAGUGGAGCCUGCUGGUAUCCUUAGGUCGGUGGUUCAAAUCCGCCUCGUCGGA